UACGUAGGGUGCAAGCGUUAAUCGGAAUUACUGGGCGUAAAGCGUGCGCAGGCGGUUAUGCAAGACAGAUGUGAAAUCCCCGGGCUCAACCUGGGAACUGCAUUUGUGACUGCAUGGCUAGAGUACGGUAGAGGGGGAUGGAAUUCCGCGUGUAGCAGUGAAAUGCGUAGAUAUGCGGAGGAACACCGAUGGCGAAGGCAAUCCCCUGGACCUGUACUGACGCUCAUGCACGAAAGCCAGGGGAGCAAACGGG
rnacentral:rRNA from 1 species